UUCAGUUCAGUGCUACAGAAGAUUAACGAGUUCUGUUCAGGCUGAGAUAGGCAUCCAAUACAAAACCUUCCAAAAUGUAUAUUUCAGAGAGGCAAUUUAUCUGCAGGUGCAUCCAGAACAGCUCAAUGGUGUUUCUCAAAACUACAGUUCACUGGUUUUGUCAAAUCUAGGAUACAGGAGGCAGCUACUGCAAAACCCAUUCAAGACUCAAAUCUGAUGCAGAACUCCAAAAUCUUCUAGCUAAAAAUGAGCAAACCUGAUGAUCCUACUGAGAUUCAAGACUCCUUGGUUCUUUGGCACCCUAUUCAUUACCAGUAGCAGAGUAGCGCCCUUCUUCUUCAUGUUUGUCCAGACUGCUUGUAGAGCAGCCAGGAGAGAUGACUUCCUGUGGAGGCAAAGUCUCUGUGCAAAAUGCUGAAUGGUUCCUGGGGGCUUGUGGCAGCUCUCUUGAAAUAAACUUUCCUUGCAGUUUUACUUUUCACAAUAAGCAUGUCUCCAAGAAACAGAGGACACAUAAUGAGAUUCACAAACCAGGCAAUAAUUUAAAUCUUAAAGAGCUGAAAGAGAGUGAAGAUGGAGUAAACAGGAAGACAAAACCUGGUCUGUUGCAACAGUCAGCUAUUCACAAGUAGACUCUUAAAGUUACCUUGGGUCA